rnacentral:sRNA from 1 species
CGUGUCUUGAAGGUUGGUGGGUAAAAAAAGAAGAAGGACCCUGAAGAGGGAACCAUGGCCAUGCAGGAUGACAACAUCGUACAUGAAACAAUCCCGCGUGCUGCGUGUGCAUGCGUGUGUGUGGGGGGGCGGUGUUUCUUGUGUAAAAAUAAAUUUAAGAAAAAACAAAGAUUUACUCUCCCGCAUCUCACCGAGUGAGCAGGUAAUCCGUGCGUGCGUGCGUGUGAGUGACUGAUAGAUGGGAAGAGAGAUGACUCGACUGUGAUCUGGUGUAGUUAUUCAUUUAGAAAUACGUGCGUCGCCUCCCUCGUCGUUUCCGCAGCCUUCCUUUUCUCCAGGUAACUCGGAUCCGCGGAUCUUGGGGUUUUUGUGUUUCUCAGCCACGCCCCAACCAUGCGGUUUCGAGUUGAAUGAAUAUAGACAUAAAAAAGAUAAAAGUAGAUAAAUGCCGGUGAUAAAGUAUGAGAGAGACAAGAAGCACCGAAAGAACGAAACAAAAACAUCAA